rnacentral:rRNA from 1 species
AAUAGAUACCCGGGUAGUCCCAGCCGUAAACGAUGCUCGCUAGGUGUCAGGCAUGGCGCGACCGUGUCUGGUGCCGCAGGGAAGCCGUGAAGCGAGCCACCUGGGAAGUACGGCCGCAAGGCUGAAACUUAAAGGAAUUGGCGGGGGAGCACAACAACGGGUGGAGCCUGCGGUUUAAUUGGACUCAACGCCGGACAACUCACCGGGGGGCGACAGCAAUAUGUAGGCCAAGCUGAAGACUUUGCCUGAAUCGCUGAGAGGAGGUGCAUGGCCGUCGCCAGUUCGUACUGUGAAGCAUCCUGUUAAGUCAGGCAACGAGCGAGACCCGUGCCCACUGUUACCAGCAUGUCCUCCGGGACGAUGGGUACUCUGUGGGGACCGCCGAUGUUAAAUCGGAGGAAGGUGCGGGCCACGGUAGGUCAGUAUGCCCCGAAUCUCCCGGGCUACACGCGGGCUACAAUGGAUGGGACAAUGGGUCCCUCCCCUGAAAAAGGGCUGGUAAUCUCACAAACCCAUUCGUAGUUCGGAUCGAGGGCUGUAACUCCG